CUAAGUUGUUCGUUUGCAUGUCGC
rnacentral:siRNA from 1 species